AUGCUGAAUACGAAAGGAAUGUUUCCCUUUGAAGGGGAUGUAAACACUGUAGAUGGAUCAGAGAGCGUUAAAACAGUCUGCUUCACCAUUGAGGUUCUUGAAGGAUUUGAUGUCCAAAGAACCACUGGGUAUGCUGACACUGAAAAGAAAUACGGCCACCUCACGGGCUCUAUAAUUGAUUACAACCGCAGAAACUUCUCUGCUGGUGCUGAUACCUCUCGACUUUGCCUGAUCUACGACGAGUUUGUGAAGAGGUGUUCUGACCUUGAGAAGGUCACUAUGAGCGAUAUAUUCGCCCUUCAGCUUAUGAAGGUGCCACAAGUGACGGAUGAAGCUGCUCUUGCUGUCACGAGUCUCUACCCCACCCUUCUCUCGCUUGCUAAGGCGUACACCAUGCUUGAUCGCGAUAGGCGUGCCCAGGAGGAGAUGCUGAAGAACAAGAGCGACAUGGUCAACGCAGGAGCUAGCAAGAACAUCUUCAAGCUCAUCUGGGCGGAAGGAUGA
rnacentral:rRNA from 1 species